GAGUUUGAUCGUGGCUCAGGACGAACGCUGGCGGCGUGCCUAAUACAUGCAAGUCGAGCGAGUCUGCCUUGAAGAUCGGAGUGCUUGCACUCUGUGAAACAAGAUACAGGCUAGCGGCGGACGGGUGAGUAACACGUGGGUAACCUGCCCAAGAGAUCGGGAUAACACCUGGAAACAGAUGCUAAUACCGGAUAACAACAGAUGAUGCCUAUCAACUGUUUAAAAGAUGGUUCUGCUAUCACUCUUGGAUGGACCUGCGGUGCAUUAGCUAGUUGGUAGGGUAACGGCCUACCAAGGCGAUGAUGCAUAGCCGAGUUGAGAGACUGAUCGGCCACAUUGGGACUGAGACACGGCCCAAACUCCUACGGGAGGCAGCA
rnacentral:rRNA from 1 species